GUCUAUGGCCAUGCUACCCUGAACAAGCCUGAUCCCAUCUGAUCUUGGAAGCUAAGCAGAGUUAGGCCUGGUUAGUACUUGGAUGGGAGACCACCUAGGAAGACCAGGUGCUGUAGGCC
rnacentral:rRNA from 1 species